ensembl:lncRNA
AUGUUUUUGUUCUCUGCAGGUCUUCCAUGGAGGAGACAAACUGGCAUCCUUGUGCUUCUAGGAACAGUUUGCAUGAUUAUUUUCAUGGUUUUGACUUCUGUCAUCUAUUCCCAUCAAGAACGAAAGUUCUCAAUGCUGGAGAGCUGGAUGAAAAGCCAUACUUCUGAUCUAACCUCAGUCAAAUCUGAUUUUCAGAACACGGGAGGUGACCUAGAAAAGAAGGCUGCUGAGCUGCAGAAUUUAGUGUUCAGCCUGAGAUCAUAUUUCAACACGUCUGGAUCAAGUAACCCAGACACCAGAGGUUGGUGCUUUAUCUUUGCCUUAACCACAAUGCUUUAUUUUUGAACUAAUUGAUUGUAAUUGUUUGAUCUCAAAUUGUCUCCAUGAAGAAUGUUGCAUCUAAAGUCUGUCUUGGCAUCUUUAAUGCAAAGAAUAUUUUGAUUCUGACAGAAAAGUCAGUCUCAACAGAGCAUGAUCGCUAACUAUCCCUUUCCUCUUUGACUUUUGACCCUGAAAAUAGUCUAAGAUAUGAUGUGUGCAUAAAAAGUGUUGAUUAUUUACUUAUUAUCUGUCUCUUUGACUCUGUAUGCAAAAGAUAUGCAAAUAAAGAAGCUGUCUAAUAUUGAGACCCUGAUGAA